CAGUAGCGUAUAUUAAAGUUGUUGCAGUUAAAAAGCUCGUAGUUGGAUUUCUGGUACGCUGCGCCUGGCCGCCCACGUUAGUGGUGUGAGUGUCGGUGCGCGGUUGCCAUCCUUCUAGAGAACGUGUCUACCUUUAAUUAGGCCGGGCUACGGGAUCUAGAUCAUUUACUUUGAAAAAUUAGAGUGUUUAAAGCAGGCUUUUGCUAUGAAUACAUUAGCAUGGAAUAAUAAUAUAGGACUUUGGUUCUAUUUUGUUGGUUUCUAGGACUAAAGUAAUGAUUGAUAGGGGAUAGUUGGGGUGGCUAGUAUUGGCCGGCCAGAGGUGAAAUUCUUGGAUUCGGUCAAGACUAACUUAUGCGAAAGCAUUCACCAAGGAUGUCUUCUUUAAUCAAGAACGAAAGUUGGGGAGUCGAAGACGAUCAGAUACCG
rnacentral:rRNA from 1 species